rnacentral:lncRNA from 1 species
AGCUUGAAGCUCAAAGUUGCCGGUUAACUCAGGUAAGGGGGGUUUAUCGUCGUUUAAUGGGUAUUAUGGGUUAACAUGUAAUGGGUAGUGAUAAGCCAUUGAUUUGACCCUAAUUGGGAUGUUGAAUGCUGAAAAGUUGUGUUGGAUAAGUUGUAUUAAAGAUGUAAUUGAAUCGGUAUUUGUGUGAGUGGUAAUUUUCCGAAAACGUAGCUUUU